rnacentral:rRNA from 1 species
UGCGUAGGCGGAUAUAUAAGUCAGUGGUGAAAUCUCUCGGCUCAACCGGGAAACUGCCAUUGAUACUGUUAGUCUUGAGUUCGGUUGAGGUAGGCGGAAUGUGUAAUGUAGCGGUGAAAUGCUUAGAUAUUACACAGAACACCAAUUGCGUAGGCAGCUUACUAGACCGACACUGACGCUGAGGCACGAAAGCGUGGGGAGCGAACAGGAUUAGAUACCCUGGUAGUCC